UAUUUUUAUUUGUCUGUGUUGAAGUUACCACAUAAACAAACGAGUGGUAUGCAUAAACAUAUCUAAAACAACAUUAGAAAGACACAUUGUUCUUUUAAAAUCUAUACUUAUGGUAGGUUCAGACUACCAACUGCUAAGACAGAGUUAAUCAACUCUGCUCUCACGACUUCUACGACUGUCCAUCUGCUAGUGUGGACGCUGUUACCACUCGAUUCUCGUCGUAUAACGCAUUAGUUGCUUGGCUGAGCGCGCCCGUCAUAAGUCGGGAGUUGGGAAAAUUACAACGCAACCGUCGAGUUGGCCAACUUUCUGCUGAGCCUAGCAAAAGAUACACAUAAAAACGCAACUUUCAUCACACCCAUGCAUGAAAAUAUUUCCUACGUCAUAAAUGAUGUCUGACAAUAGUGUAACGUUCUGUCGUCCCUACAGACCAUAAACCUAAAGGUGACAAUGAAUUAAUAAAACAUCUCUUAAGCUGGUCGAUCGCCCAGUUGUUAGUAAUGUGGGUGACUUGCACUCGAACAAAUCGGUUGUAUAAUUAGUGUUAUCAUCUCAGUCGUGGACGAGCCACACCCAGUAAAGACACGCGGUACAUAGCAAAUGGGGUGUCUUGUAUUUUCUUUCUUUAUUUCCUUUUAUUAAUAUAGUUAUACAUUGGUGCUAACUUCGAAGACGCCGGUUAAUUAAAGUUUAAAAGAUUGUUUUGUGUAACGACACCACUAGAGCAUAUUGAUUUAUUAAUCAUCAACCAGUGCUCCUCGAAUAAUGAACGCUACGUACAUGUUCAUUCACAACAACAUUGUUCCAUUUGUAGAAAGGGGUCUUUUAAAUUCAUCAUCCCACAGACAGGAUAGUACAUGUAUACUACGGCCUUUUAUAUACCAGUGGUGGUGCACUGGAUGGAACGAGAAAUAACCCAAUGGGCCAACCGACGGGAAUCGAUCCUAGACCACCAUGCCACUGCUCUGGUAACAUAAGCAUUGUCUCCAUUUCAGCAAUCCAGUUGAGUCAACAACCUCUCAGUCGAAUAAAAUCCUAAACUGACCGAACGUUCGGAUAUGAGUAUAUUUCUACAUCUGAUAGUAUUAAUCAGCCUACCAAGCACAGUAUAAAAGUAUAGGGUUAUUCUUGUUUGUACAGUACAUACCAUUUUUUAUUAACUUUGAGCUUUACAGCUCAUCAGUAUACACACAAAAAUAUAAAUAAAGACGACGGCUGCAUAUAGUGCAGCAGAUGCAAAAACAAUAUAACAGUAAUUAUAUAAUAUAAACAUAAUGUAAUACCAAUUAUACAUAAUGGUUUGAUAUUAAUCAUAAGGUGUUUCUUAACCUGUUGCAUUCAGAGAGGUAUUUUCCAAGCUGGUUUAAAACUUUAAUAUUAUUAAUAUUUAAUAACAGUACAACUUUAUGAGUUGAAGGUUUCUUGCAAUAAAUUUUUUUGAUGUAUUUUCUUCUAAGAUCGUCAUAUUUGGGACAUUCUAGUAGCAUAUGAUAUUCGUCUUCAAUUUUGUUUAGAUUACAAUAAUUACAUAUUCUAUCUGACCUUUCUGUAUUUCUGUACCUCCGGUUUCUAUCGCUAAAGAAUGGGCUGACAAUCUAAGCGUAGUUAAUAAAAUGCGAUUGUGUUUCGAAAUAUAGUUUUGCAAAUAGUAUUGUAAAGACACUCGAUCUACAAGAUGUUUAUAUAAAAUACACGAUGGGGAAUUAUGUAACAUACUAAAUAAAGACUGUUUAGCCUGAUCAAAAAUACAGAGUAAAGUUAAAUUGGCAUUAUAGCAUUAUUUGACAUCAUGUUUUGCAUCACACAUCAUUGUAAACAUUGUAAGACCUAUAUCAAAAUGAAAAUGGUACCACCAAUGCACAACACAAUAAAUUAGUUUUGAGCAAAAUGUCACUGUUCUAAAUUGCAAACUUCCCCCCCGCUAUUUAACUUUACAAAAGUGGAACUUUUAAGUUUUGUUUGUAAUCACCCGAUAUAAUAUAUUAAGUUUCUAUUAUGAUAAAAAUAGCUUAAAUAUUAUUAUUUAUUGUUUUAUGCUAUAUAACAUUAAUUGAUUCUGUUUACGAUUUGGCCUAGAGCUGCCGUGUAAGUACAGUGUAAUACAAGUUAAAGGCCUACAGGUUUUACAACAGGUUUUGGUUUCGUUGCUUUUGGGUUACAUACACUAAAUAUACAUUAAAAUACGUGUACUUUCUUAACACAAAUGGCUGCAAUUGUUGGUCUGGGCCCGUUCCACGAAGCAAUCUUAAUGCUAAGAUCACCUUAAAUGCAUGCCUUAAGGUGAUCUUAGCACUAAGAUCGCUUCGUGGAACAGGGCCCAGGACUACAAAAUGCCCACCAAAGAGAAAAAACCCACAAAAAAACAAACAACUGAACUAACAUACAAGAAAUGGUAACAUCCAGUAUUUAGUUAAUUUAUUAAAUAUUAAAAUUAUUCAUUCUUUGACAAAAGCUAUCCUUACUUUGUCCUAAUAAUGAGAAGUAACAUUCAUGGUAGAAAUAUCAAGUUUCCAUAAGAUGUUGGUUGUCUUUUUAUUGAGAACAUAUUUUAUUGCAUACACACACACACACACAUAUAUAUAUAUAUAUAUAUAUAUAUAUAUAUAUAUAUACACACACACACACACACACACACACACACGCAAACGCACCCGCCCACGCGCACGUGUACACACACACACGCGCGCGCGCACGUACGCAUGCACAAACACAGACACACAUAAAAGGUUGGGCACAAGUUAUGAAACUUACGAGACCUUGACUUAAUUACAAAAUUUAAAUUGUACAUAAAUGCCGACUACAAUGGUCAAUAAAUCAAUCAAUAAAAUGCUGGGUGUUAGUGGCCGUGUGUUUUUCUUGUCGUUGUUGUAUUUGAAUUUUUCAAACUUUGACUUAUUUAUUUUUAAUUUUUGUAUUUCAUUACACCUUCUUUUGUUUUACUUCUAAUCAAUUUGCAACUUACUAGAAAUAGUGACCUCUAAUUUUCUUUUAAAUUAUCCAUUGUCGGUACGUCCUCAAAGACGGUUCAUGUCAUAAACAUGAUGACCAUUGUUUAAAAUACCCAAUUAUAACUGAUUGGUUUCUAUUUUUCAGGCGAUCGCAUGCGUCAGUGUAUUCAAUAAAUCAGCACCCAUGUAUUACGUGUACAUCGCCACGUUAUACAAAAGACCACAAAAAUCGGAGAGACCAUAUGCGAUCGAAUCCCAGUGGCAGACAUCUUGAUCACCGGCCGAAACAUUAAACACGAACGGAACACGUACAUUCACCAUAACACUUCAACAGACAUUCUCUGACACACAAUGGCGUUCAGCAAGAUUUUAUUUUGGGGAGUGUUUAUUGGCGUAUUUUGUCUCGCGUCUGCGGGCUCAUCACAAGAAUGCAACUUAAUCCCGGCUGACGUUGUGUUCAACAUAGAUGGUUCUGCGUCA